rnacentral:rRNA from 1 species
AUGAUCUUCCCCCCUUCAUUCCUGGAUUCCUCGAGCUGGAAUGAUAACCAGCAUGCUCACCACCAGCAGGUCGCGGCCGCAAGUUGUGGUGGUGGCGCCGGCGACGGCGGCUGCAACAACCAUGAGCUCCUGCAGCCAUCAAUCAUGCAGCAGGGGACGCUUGCUGAAGGUGGGGACGGAGGCGGCAGCGGCGGGCAGGUGGUGGGGCCGGCGAAGCCCAUGUCCAUGUCGGAGCGUGCGCGGCUGGCUCGGGUGCCGCUGCCGGAGCAGGGGCUCAAGUGCCCGCGCUGCGACUCCGCCAACACCAAGUUCUGCUACUUCAACAACUACUCCCUCUCGCAGCCGCGCCACUUCUGCCGUGCCUGCCGCCGCUACUGGACCCGCGGCGGAGCGCUCCGCAACGUCCCCGUCGGCGGCGGCUACCGCCGCCACGCCAAGCGCGCCAAACCCAAGCAGGCGGCCGCGGCCGCGGCAGCGGGGGCACCGGCGGCCAGUGGCGCCGCUUCGGGUGGGUCGACCACGUCAUCGACGACUUCCGCUUGCACGACCAUGUCCAACCCGGCUCCCGUGCUCCCGGCGAUGCUGCAGAACGGCGGUGGUGGCAACCUGUCCGGCCUCCUGCCACCGCUGCUCCGCCUCGCCGACUUUGAUGCCAUGAGCCUCGGCUCCACCUUCUCCGGCAUGGGGAAGCCGUCCCCGGUCGACUCGCCAGCGGGCUACUACCUGGGAGGCGGCGGCGGCGGUGCCGUGCCCGGGCUGGAGCAGUGGAGAGUGCAGCAGAUGCAAGGCUUCCCGUUCUUCCAAGCAAUGGCCGACCAGCAGCACACACUGACCCCAGCUGCAGCGCCUGCAAUGGCCAUGCCGGGGAUGUUCCACUACCUAGGCUUGGGCAACGGUGGUGAUGGCCGCGGCGUCCAUGAAGACGACGGAGGAGACCAACAGUUUCAUCACGCGAUGCCGUCAAAGAGAGAAUGCUACCCGAGAUCAGGCAGCAUCGCCAUGUACGGUGGUGAUCACCACCUCACUGCUGGUGCUGGCUACACAAGCUCCUACUCCAAUGCUGCCACAGGUAACCAUCUCUUGUGA